rnacentral:rRNA from 1 species
AGAGUUUGAUCCUGGGCUCAGGAUGAACGCUGGCGGCGUAGCUUAACACGUGCAAGUCGAACGAAGGCGCUUGAAUGGAAUUCUUCGGAAGGAAGCUUAAGUGACUGAGUGGCGGACGGGUGAGUAACGCGUGGGUAACCUGCCUCAUACAGGGGGAUAACAGUUAGAAAUGACUGCUAAUACCGCAUAAGCACACGUGAUCGCAUGAUCGAGUGUGAAAACUCCGGUGGUAUGAGAUGGGCCCGCGUCUGAUUAGCUAGUUGGUGGGGUAACGGCCCACCAAGGCGACGAUCAGUAGCCGGCCCGAGAGGGUGAACGGCCACAUUGGGACUGAGACACGGCCCAAACUCCUACGGGAGGCAGCAGUGGGGAAUAUUGCACAAUGGGGGAAACCCUGAUGCAGCGACGCCGCGUGAAGGAUGAAGUAUUUCGGUAUGUAAACUUCUAUCAGCAGGGAAGAAAAUGACGGUACCUGACUAAGAAGCCCCGGCUAACUACGUG